GUAGGUAGCAGUUUCUUGUAUUUCGUCUUUGACUCUUUAACUUUGCAAUGGCAGUUGUUUAAAAGCAGUUGAGAUCUUGGAAAGUUAUGAGAAAUCACAAGCUGAUGUUUCUGAAGGGAUGCUUUUGUACAAGAUCUCUUUAUUGGAGGAAUCAGGUAAUAUAGAGAAGGCUUUGAAGGAGCUACUCAAUAAAAAGUCAGUCAUUGUUGAUAAUGUAGCUUUUAAGGAGCAACAUGUUUCCUUGUUGGUCAAGCUCAAUGAACUUAGCGAGGCAAAGAAAAUAUAUAUGGAGCUUCUUUCUCAGAAUCCAGAAAACUACAG